rfam:Aedes aegypti strain Liverpool supercont1.696 genomic scaffold, whole genome shotgun sequence.
AGCUCGGUAGUUUAGUUGGCAAAGCACUCGUCUAACUUACAAGAGACGUUGGUUCAAAUCCCACCUGAACAA